AAUCACUUGUCUUUUAAAUGAAGACCCGUAUGAAAGGUUUAACGAGGGCUUAACUGUCUCCUUUUCCCAAUCAAUGAAAUUGAUCCCCCCGUGCAAAAGCGGGGAUAACUAUAUAAGACGAGAAGACCCUGUGGAGCUUAAGACAAUUCUGUAAACUAAAUAAAAACUAAAAUAACAUAGUACAUAAACCUGAAGUCAUUACAGAAUAUCUUCAGUUGGGGCGACUGCGGAGAAAAUAAAACCUCCGCGAAGAUUAAGAAUACAAACCUCUUAAAACAUAGAGCCACAUCUCAAAGCAAUAGAAUAUCUAACUUUUAUUGAUCCAAUCACUUGAUCAACGAACCAAGUUACCCCAGGGAUAACAGCGCAAUCCCCUUUAAGAGUCCCUAUCGACAAGGGGGUUUACGACCUCGAUGUUGGAUCAGGACAUCCUAAUGGUGUAGCCGCUAUUAAUGGUUCGUUUGUUCAACGAUUAA
rnacentral:rRNA from 1 species